rnacentral:lncRNA from 1 species
UUUUAUCAUCUAAACAUAGAAAGGUCUACAACAUUCUAAUGUCUGAAACAAAAGGACUGACAGAUACCUUGAUAUCCAUCAAGUACAACAAAAAUUCAAGUUUGCGUGCUUGUGACAGGGUUUGGUGUAUCGAAAUGGACAGGGUUUGGUGUAUCGAAAUGGAUGAUUAAUACAAUGUAGUCUUUAUGGCUACAGAAAAUUAAACAAGAAGUAUAGACGCAAUAGUUGGCUUAGAGCACCCAAAUGAGUACAUCAUUUUUAGCAGAAGUAAAUAUAUCCCAGAAUAAAAUAUAAGCGUGAAAUAUUUUGCUUAAACAUCCCUGAGUACAUUAAAUGGUAAUAGUUCAUACAGGGACUACAAGACCGCAUCUGAAAGGCAGAAUAAAUAGCAAUUAUUAGACCCAACAAGCUUGUUUAUCAUGUUCAGUUUUGGAAAUAAGGACGAUGAUGACAGUAGAUGGCAUCCAUGCACUCGUAAAGAAAAAAUGAGCUAGUAAUACAGAGAUUAUAAACUAAAAGCUAGACUAUCAUCAACUCAAAACUCACAAACAAGAGUUGGCCGGUAUCUAGUCUACAGGUAAGUUUUGAACAGAUAUGUCCAUUAGGAUUCCCUACAUGUAGGUUUGGAAUCUCUAUUGGGGCAUCUACCUCAGGGCUCCUAUGACUCAAAUGCAUGACUGCCACGGUUAACGACAUCAAAGUAUUGAACAAUGACCAGAGUUAUGUACAUCCAAUUAGUUCAUAUGCAGUGGCUCUGCAAUCCAUGCAGGUAGUAUGAACACUCAAUGCCUAUAUUAACCAGAUCAUUUGAUGAGUCGUGUAUCAAAUGAAAGUCCAAUCAAGUUAACCUAGAUGCGACACGGGUAACAAAAUGCAUAUCAGAGAACUCCAAGCACUAACAGCAGUAGUAGUUGAUGCCACUCUAAAUACAAAAAUAAAGAUGGCAUCACAAAGAAACAAUAUCUACAACUUUCAUAAUGGUAGCUUGUAAAAGAGUUAAACCUAAUCAUCCAAAUUUAAACCUAUUAGGCUACUACAAUUCUAAGCAAUCGUCAGAUGCACAGCACAAAUAUAUCAAGGUACCAUUAGCAUGUGGGAUGUGGCCAACACACAUAAAUAAUGCAGACUAGUUACCAGUUAACCACAGUAAAAUUUUGUUCCUAUAAAUGCGACAUUUAACAUUUUAUCGUCUAAACAUAUAACAGUCUGCAUCAUUUCAAUGUCUGAAACAACGAACCAACAGAUCAUUUCAUGUUCAUUAAGUACAACAACUGGAAGUAUUUCAUCAAGCUAAGAACCAAGUACGAUGUAAAUAAAAUGUAUGGAGAUAUCAGUUCCUCUUCAGCAGUAGAUGGAUGUCCCAGAUCAAUGGAAAAUCGUUAGUUGAGCGCAUUUAGUCACGCACCAGUCUGGGAUAUCUUUUUCCAUGAGCCUCGCGGG